rnacentral:lncRNA from 9 species
GCCGUCAGCCCCAGCUAGAGGUGACCAUAUAGAAACGAAGGGGUGAACUUGGAGUAGGUAGAAAGAAGGCUGCAUCCUGGUAUUCAGUGUGUACUCGUGCUCGAAUGCUCCGGGAAGACGGAGAGGAUACAAUGGGGAUGGACCCAGCGGCUCCAUGAGAGCCUCCUCCGGGAACUGUGGUUAACGCCCUCCGCAGUGUACGUGAACCCUCAGUAUUGGAACACGAUGGAUUAUUCCAGAACGACCGCCUCCUACCCUCUAAUGGUACCUUCCGAGUGAAUGGUCUUACCUCCGGCCCUGUCAGUGGGAAGGUGAGAGUUCCAUUCCAUACAUCAGGAGUCAAGCAGGGUGUUUGAUCCAGAGACACAGAAACAUAUCCUGACGGCACAGGAAGAAGAAGGAGGAGGAGGAAGAAGAAGAAGGGAAGGAGAAGAAGAGAGAACUGGGCUGGUGAAAAUUUGGAAGUCUGACUCUGGGACUUCCAAGCAUAACCACCAAAAUAUAUCAUUCCCUGAAUGUUGCUGUAGCUUCUUCACAGGCCUCCCUGACUCUUGCUCUUAUCCCCCAGCCAAUCCAUCUUCCCUGCCCACUGUUGGAGGAAUCCUUCUAAACUGCAAAAUAGGCCUUAUGAUCCCCUUUCUUGAAAAGUAAAGAGGAAAUGAAGGAGGAGGAGGAGAAGAGAAAAAAAUUUCCUUAGUGUCCCAGUCCCCUAAGGGAUAAAGUCUCAUCUUCUUAACCCAGCACCCUAGGAUUUCUGUGUGACAUAUUCUUUGCCUCACUAAUUUACUCUACAACUUUAUUUUCCCCCCUCCACCACUAAAUGCAGUGCCCUCUGACCCAGACUUCCCAAAAUGGUAGAAGUUCCUGGCUCCUCACCGUGUUCUCCCCCUGCCUGGACUGGAAUCUAUAUAUAUAUAUAUCCCCCUCUCUUUCUCAUAGGAUAAUAGGGUGAAAAGGUAAUAGGGUGAAAAGGAUGGGAAGGAGGAUGCAAAUAAGGUACAGGGCAUGGGAGAGUGACAUUUCUCUGGGUAUAAUUUUUUGUAUGGUUUUGACUUUUAAAAUCAUGUUACCCUCCUACACUGUUGGUAGGAAUGUAAAUUGGUGCAGCCAUUAUGGAUAACAGCAUGGAGGUUCCUUAAAAAACUAAAAAUGGAGUUACCGUAUCAUCCAGCAAUCCUACUCUUGGGCAUAUAUCCAGAAAGGAUGAAAACUCUAAUUCGAUGAGUUCCUGUCAUGGCACAGUGGAAACGAAUCCCACUAGGAACCAUGAGGUUUCGGGUUCAAUCCCUGGCCUUGAUCAGUGGGUUAAGGAUCUGGCAUUGCUGUGAGCUGUGGUGUAGGUCACAGACAUGGCUCAGAUCUGGCGUUGCUGUGGCUGUGGCAUAGGCCGGCAGCUGUAGCUCCGAUUGGACCCCUAGCCUGGGAACCUCCAUAUGCCGAGGGUGCAGCCCUAAAAAGCAAAAACAAAAACAAAAAACCCCUCUAUUUCGAAAAUGCACCCCAAUGUUCAUAGCAGCACUAUUUACAAUAGCCAAGACAUGGGAGCAACCUACAUGUCCACUGAGAUGAAUGGAUAAAGAAGAUGUGGUACAUAUAUAUACAAUGGAAUACUACUCAGCCACAAAAAGGAAUGAAAUAAUGCCAUUUGUGGCAACAUAGGUGGACCUAGAGAUGAUCAUACUAAAUAAAGCAAGCCAGACAGAGAAAGACAAAUGCUGUAUGAUAUCACUUAUAUGUGGAAUCUAAAAAA